rnacentral:lncRNA from 1 species
CCUCGUUUCAGGGGUGUCGCCCUUAGAGGGGGGAGACUCCUGAACCCUGGGUGUGGCCAUACCUUAUCUCGACACCUGAGUUCAAGGUGUCUUGUCGCUAAAGGGGGGAGUCCCCUGGAUCCUGUGUGCGGGCGAACCUGAUCUCGCCGUGUCACCCAGUUUCAGUGGUUUUGCCCCUAGAUGGGAAAGUGCCCUCGACCUUGUGUGCAGUGGUACCUGAUCUCCCCAUGGGCUCAAGUGGUCACGCCCCUAGAGGGGGGAGUCCCCUGGACCCUGGGUGCAGCUGUACCUGAUCUCCCCCCAGAACCAUGUUCAAGGGGGUCUCAUACCUAGGGGAAGGUGAUUUCUGGACCCUGGGUGCGGCCUUACCUGAUCUCCCCAGUUCACCUGGGUAUGAGUGAUCUCACCCCUAAAGAGGGAUACCCCUUCAUGGCGACGGGCUUGGAGAGAUCAAGUCUCUGACCUAUUCAGCUGUGCGGGCAUAGGGAGUUGUAAACUGUCUAAAUGCUGUUUGCUCAGGAUCACUAGGCAACGCUGAGCUGAGGUGGAUCUGGGGCGAACAGUCUGGGCCUCUCAGAACACACACCGAGCCAGGAUCGGCUGCAUUCAAGCUCCCUUUCACCUGCUUCUUGCAGCCAAAUUGCUGUGACUCAGCACUAACGACCCUGCUGAAACAACUGGUUGGCCCUUCUGAACUUACAGAGGUAAAAGCCAACCAAGCCUUCAUAGGCAGUGGCCACAGGAUUGAAACGGGGCUUGGGAGAGACACUCAGGACCAACCCGUUGCAUUGGUCACCCAGCAAAUGGAAAGAACUGUCACCAUUUGCAUGGCAUACCACCAUGGCAGAGAACUGACAUCACCAUAACGCGGCGGAGGAGAUAACUUCAUUGAAACCAGCGGCGACAGGUGUGUAAUCCCCUAGCCAUCCCUCUCCACACAGUGGGGAAACCUUAAGGGCCCCUCCUAGCUCUCCCGUGAGCGUGAUAGCCAGACUGAGGGAAUCAGGUGUGGCGCGGGACACGUGGCGCUGAACUCCCAGCUAUCGCUCCCACCAGUGCUGACAACUGAGGUAUCUUGCACCAGCUACCGAGGGCGUGGCUACUGGAGGGCAAGCAAAUUCGCUGGGGGAUCUCAGCCCCAAGCUCUACAAACUUAGGGUCUGAGGGAAUGGCAAACAGGGAGAGUGCCCAGGCGUUCAUGAAAACAGGGCUCCCAGGAGCAGCAGACCUGGCGUGUAGGCAGUAUUGUGGUGAGCGUCACUGGUGAGCGGGGCCUGGCAUGAGGAAAAGUGGGGAAGUGACUAGACACAAGAGAAGGCCCCAGGCACUCAGGAUUGGAGACUCGCCCAGUCUGGGAGGAAGAGCUGCUGCACAGUGAUUGGUUCCUGCCUAUUGAGAGGAGAAGCUUGGCCCAGUGGGCACAGCUCCACCUACUGGAAUAGAAGUUAAUCAAACUCUAAGACUGCAUUUAUUAAUUUUUUUUUUUUUAAUUUGGGUUACAGAAGACAUAAAGGAGGAAAUCAAAAAAUUCUUAGAGAUAAAUGAAAAUACAGACACAACAUAUCGGAAUCUAUGGGACACAAUGAAAGCAGUUUUAAGAGGGAAAUUCAUCUACUGGAGAUCAUUCCUCAAAAAAAGGAAAAACCAACAAAUAAAUGAGCUCACACUUCAUCUCAAAGCCCUAGAAAAGGAAGAGCAAAACAACAGCAAAUAUAGCAGAAGGCAAGAAAUAAUUAAAAUCAGAGCGGAAAUCAAUGAAAUUGAAACAAAAGAAACUAUUGAAAAAAUUAACAAAACUAAAAGUUGGUUCUUUGAGGAGGACAUUCAAUCAAUCAAUAAGUACAUGAAAAAAUGUUCACCAUCUCUAGCAGUCAGAGAAAUGCAAAUCAAAACCACCCUAAGAUACCGUAUCACUCCAGUAAGAUUGGCAGCCAUUAUGAAGUCAAACAACAACAAGUGCUGGAGAAGAUGUGGGGAAAAGGGUACUCUUGUACAUUGCUGAUGGGACUGCAAACUGGUGCGACCAAUUUGGAAAGCAGUAUGGAGAUUCCUGGGAAAGCUGGAAAUGGAACCACCAUUUGACCCAGCUAUUGCCCUUCUCGGACUAUUCCCUGAAGACCUUAAAAGAGCGUACUACAGGGAUACUGUCACAUCGAUGUUCAUAGCAGCACAAUUCACAAUUGCUAGACUGUGGAACUAACCCAGAUGCCCUUCAAUAGAUGAAUGGAUAAAAAAAAUGUGGCAUUUAUACACCAUGGAGUAUUACGCUGCACUAAAAAAUGACGAAAUCAUGGAAUUUGCAGGGAAAUGGAUGGCACUAGAGAAGAUUAUGCUUAGUGAAGCUAGCCAAUCCCUAAAAAACAAAUACCAAAUGUCUUCUUUGAUAUAAUGAGAGCAAUUAAGAACAGAGCAGGGAGGAAGAGCAGGAAGAAAAGAUUAACUUUAAACAGAUACAUGAGGUGGGAGGGAAAGGGAGAGAAAAUUGCAUGGUAAUGGAGGGAGACCCGCAUGGUUAUACAAAAUUACAUAUAAGAGGUUGUGAGGGGAAUGGGAAAAUAAACAUGGAGAUAAAUGAAUUACAGUAAAUGGGGUAGAAAGAGAAGAUGGGAGGGGAGGGGAGGGGGGAUAGUAGAGGAUAGGAAAGGCAGCAGAAUACAACAGUUACUAAUAGGGCAUUAUGUACAAAUGUGGAUGUGUAAACGAUGUGAUUCUGCAAUCUGUAUUUGGGGAAAAAUUGGGAGUUCAUUACCAACUUGAAUCUAAUGUAUGAAGUAUGAUAUGUCAAGAGCUUUGUAAUGUUUUGAACAACCAAUAAAAAAAAAAAAAUGAUAUCCAUCACCCAGCUUUAAUACACCUUAACAUUUUGCCAUUUGUUUC